UGGGGAGUAACAGCCGGAAACGGCUGCUAAUACCGAAUACGAUCUUUUCGUCGCAUGACGAAAGAAGAAAGGAUGGCCUCUAUACAAAGCUAUCGCCGAAGGAGGGGUUUUGCGUCUGAUUAGCUGGUUGGAGGGGUAACGGCCCAACAAGGCGAUGAUCAGUAGCCGGUCUGAGAGGAUGAGCGGCCACAUUGGGACUGAGACACGGCCCAGACUCCUACGGGAGGCAGCAGUGGGGAAUCUUCCGCAAUGGACGAAAGUCUGACGGAGCAACGCCGCGUGAGUGAAGAAGGUCUUCGGAUUGUAAAGCUCUGUUAUACGGGACGAAAAAGACGGAUGCCAACAGUAUCCGUCCGUGACGGUACCGUAAGAGAAAGCCACGGCUAACUACGUGCCAGCAGCCGCGGUAAAU
rnacentral:rRNA from 1 species